AACCCCUGACCAGGCUGAGGACUCCUGGAUUGCAGAACUGUUCCGGUCUGAUCUAAAUCCCUGACCUGGAUCGGAUCCCUGCCUGCUCACUGCUGCAUUGGAGACACUUGGAUGGCUCAGAGCCGCAUCUCGUCGGCAGUGCAUCCUGCCUAUGAUUGAGAGGAUGGACUGAACUGAUAAACCAGAAGCAGGCUGUGGAUCCGUGGUAUCAGCGGCUAGGACGCGGCACCACUAAUCACUGGAAACUCUGGUUUAAGAAAAACACUGGUAAGCGACCAUGAUUAUCUGAUGGAGAAUGAUUAUCCAUAUGAGUCACAUACUGGGUUUAACAGUUCAGUCCAUCUCCAUAGAACGAGGUAGGAUCCAGCCAGUGGGCUGCCAAGAAGAUGCCAUGGGCGUUGUCCAAAUUUUCCCAGAUGCUGCAGCCCCAGAGAACAAGCAGGAGUCCGAGCCAUACCAGGGAAACUGAUCAGAACAGGAAGGCUCAGAGGUCCAGGAGUCUGGUCAGGGAUACCGAUCAGAAUAGGAACAGGCUGCUCCAGGGUUCCAGCAGUCCACAGACAGUUCAGGAAGAAUGUUCAGAUUGGAACACGCAGGCUCAGUAGCAUGCCAAGGAGAGGUGGACAGGAGGUGUGACAGAUUGGUUCUGCCUUCCAACUUUUAAGAAAAGGUAGAAACAUCUGAAGCUGGAAACAGAAUAACCUUCAAACUAAAGCCCAUAUGAAGUCCAAAAUGAAUGGAAGAAUGUGUGUUUAUUGUAUUUUAAAUACAACUAAUAUACUUAUGAAGAAUUUGCAAUGAUAUGCAUCCUACAUUUUCGCUUUUUCAGCCCUAAUUAGUAGGGUUUAUUUUUUAAGUUCUCGUUGCUAAGCCAUUUUAGCUCAUGACUUUUUAAAGUGUCACCUGUAGCAUAGCUUUUUCACUAUUAAAAUGAAUAGUGGGCUCUUGA